AUUGAACGCUGGCGGCAUGCCUUACACAUGCAAGUCGAAAGGCAGCGGGGGAGAAGCUUGCUUUUCCUGCCGGCGAGUGGCGAACGGGUGAGUAAUACAUCGGAACGUGCCCUGUAGUGGGGGAUAACUAGUCGAAAGAUUAGCUAAUACCGCAUACGACCUGAGGGUGAAAGUGGGGGACCGCAAUGCCUCAUGCUAUAGGAGCGGCCGAUGUCUAUUAGCUAGUUGGUGGGGUAAAGGCCUACCAAGGCGACGAUCAGUAGCUGGUCUGAGAGGACGAUCAGCCACACUGAGACUGAGAAACGGCCCAGACUCCUACGGGAGGCAGCAGUGGGGAAUUUUGGACAAUGGGCGAAAGCCUGAUCCAGCAAUGCCGCGUGUGUGAAGAAGGCCUUCGGGUUGUAAAGCACUUUUGUCCGGAAAGAAAUGGCUCUGGUUAAUACCUGGGGUCGAUGACGGUACCGGAAGAAUAAGGACCGGCUAACUACGUGCCAGCCGCCGCAGUAA
rnacentral:rRNA from 1 species